rnacentral:rRNA from 1 species
GGGGAAGCGGCGGCCUACCAUGCAGUCGAACGGUAACAGGAAGCAGCGUUGCUGCUUCGCUGACGAGUGGCGGACGGGUGAGUAAUGUCUGGGAAACUGCCUGAUGGAGGGGGAUAACUACUGGAAACGGUAGCUAAUACCGCAUAACGUCACAAGACCAAAGAGGGGGACCUUCGGGCCUCUUGCCAUCGGAUGUGCCCAGAUGGGAUUAGCUAGUAGGUGGGGUAACGGCUCACCUAGGCGACGAUCCCUAGCUGGUCUGAGAGGAUGACCAGCCACACUGGAACUGAGACACGGUCCAGACUCCUACGGGAGGCAGCAGUGGGGAAUAUUGCACAAUGGGCGCAAGCCUGAUGCACCCAUGCCGCGUGUAUGAAGAAGGCCUUCGGGUUGUAAAGUACUUUCAGCGGGGAGGAAGGUGAUAAGGUUAAUAACCUCGGCCAUUGACGUUACCCGCAGAAGAAGCACCGGCUAACUCCGUGCCAGCAGCCGCGGUAAUACGGAGGGUGCAAGCGUUAAUCAGAGUUACUGGGCGUAAAGCGCACGCAGGCGGUCUGUCAGUCGGAUGUGAAAUCCCCGGGCUCGCCUGGGAACUGCAUUCGAAACUGGCAGGCUAGGUCUUGUAGAGGGGGGUAGAAUUCCAGGUGUACGGUGAAAUGCGUAGAGAAUCUGGAGGAAUACCGGUGGCGAAGCCGCCCCUGGACAAGACUGACGCUCAGGUGCGAAAGCGUGGGAGCAACUAGAUUAGAUACCCUGGUAGUCCACGCCGUAAACGAGUCGACUUGGAAUUGUGCCUUGAAGCGUGCCUUCGGAGCUACGCGUUAAGUCCACCGCCUGGAGAUAGGCCGCAGGUUAAACUCAUUGAAUGACGCGGCCCGCAAAGCAUGGAGCUGUAUUUAAUCGAGCAAGCGAAUAACCUUACCUCUCUGACACCAGAUACUUACAGAAUGUUUGUGCCUAGGAACUCGAGACAGCGUGCAGGCUGACUCACUCGUGUGUGAAUGUGAGUUAGUCCGAACGAGCCAACCUUUCUUUGUGCCACGGUCGGCCGUACUCAAGAAAUGCCAUAUAAAUAAGGAGGUGGAACAGUCAAUCUCUGCCCUAAGGUAGGUACCCUGCUAAUGGCCAAGAAGAAGCACUCGGGAGCAGCGACCAAAAUGGUCCAUCCGAUGGACCGCACCGAUCCUGAAUCGAUCCACAACUGAAACAAGCCAAGUAACCUUCCGGCUUAACCCCCCCCCCCAGGAUGGUCCAAAAAUGGAUCCCUGGGGGCCUCCCUUGGUUCGGGGGAACAAGGGCCAGGGACCUGGGGGGCCCCUAAAAGGCUAGUAUUGUAUGAAAGGAA